rnacentral:rRNA from 1 species
GAUGAACGCUAGCUACAGGCUUAACACAUGCAAGUCGAGGGGAAACGGCAUUGAGUGCUUGCACUCUUUGGACGUCGACCGGCGCACGGGUGAGUAACGCGUAUCCAACCUUCCCAUUACUGUGGGAUAACCUGCCGAAAGGCAGACUAAUACCGCAUAGUCUUCGAUGACGGCAUCAGAUUUGAAGUAAAGAUUUAUCGGUAAUGGAUGGGGAUGCGUCUGAUUAGCUUGUUGGCGGGGUAACGGCCCACCAAGGCUACGAUCAGUAGGGGUUCUGAGAGGAAGGUCCCCCACAUUGGAACUGAGACACGGUCCAAACUCCUACGGGAGGCAGCAGUGAGGAAUAGUGGUCAAUGGACGGAAGUCUGAACCAGCCAAGUAGAGUGCAGGAUGACGGCCCUAUGGGUUGUAAACUGCUUUUGUAUGGGGAUAAAGUUAGGGACGUGUCCCUAUUUGCAGGUACCAUACGAAUAAGGACCGGCUAAUUCCGUG